CAUUCCCAGCACAUGGGAGACAGGGAAACAUACCUCGAACUCCUGGGUGCCAAUGAUGGGAUGACAGACCGCAGUUCGCUGAAGGGCACAUGCCACAGCUCGAGCCCAGCCACAGGAAGAGCGUGAGGAGGAGAAGAGGACCAGCAGCAGCGGGAGAGGUGCACACCAUGACCCCUCAACAGCCACCUGCUGAGCGCUCACAAGUCACGCUAGUUCGUUCCCUACGCUGACCAAGCCAAUAGGAACUGCGCCUGCAGGUGGGGGGUGGGGCAGCACGCAGACCCCCCUGGCUGCCCCUAUGUCUAGGAGCUGGACAUGCUGGCUGCUCCCUGGGAGCUGCGCGGCGUGGAGGCUAGCAGGGAGCCUCCCAGCCCCGCUGCGCAGAGCUGCCAAGUGGACAGUCAACGGCCCAGUCAGCAGUGCUGACCAGAACCACCAGGAUCCUUUUUCGACCGGGUGUUCUGGUUGAAAACCGGACACCUGGUCACCCUAGCCUGACUCAAAACCUGCUCAGUCACUGGAAAGACUCCCAUCAACUUCAAUGGGCUUUAGAUCAAGGUCAGAAUGAAAAACACCUCCACAGAUGCAGUGGGCAGAGGUACCUGAGAACGGGAUCCAUCAGUGUAAGUGGCAGAGGGCUUCUGGCAGAACAUUCUCCAUGAAAGGUCUUCAGCUUUGGAAUUCACUUCUCCACCCCAAUUCCUUGUGAUUCACUGGAGCCCGGAUUUGUGACACUUCCCAGGGACACUGCAAAACCCAGGCAUUUGGAAUAGAAGUGGCUUGAAGGUUUGACAGCCUGGAGAUGGAGUAUGUCUGAUUGGGGGAUUUUACUAUCAUGAUCAUGACAGCAAAGACCUAGCCAGAAUUUAACUCAGCUACAGCCCAGGACAGCCCAAGCGAGGGAUGAGACCAUGGUUAAAAGAUGGUUAAAUGCCAUCUACACCAUGAGCCAAAACUGUGUUUGGACUGUUCUGAGGCCUCUAUACAACCAUACUGUAAACAGGCCUCCACAAACAAUUAGUUUGGGGCUCUAAUACAGAUGUGAACUGCCCUUAUUCAUCUCACAGGGCUAUUAGCUUUGAAGCCUAACACUUGAAGUUCCAAUGAUAAAAUGGGAGUGUCGGCAGAACCUGGAAUUGCAGCAAUAUCUGGAAUACACUCCUACAGCUUCUCAUCUUCAGGCUGAGCCCUGCUCCAUUACAGCUGUAGCCAGCAUUUUGUGCACCAGAGAGGGAAGGACUGAUGUUUGACCUCGCUAGUAUAGAAGGUUUCAAUGGAUGUUAAUCACACAAGGCUGCAUCUGUGGAGGCUUUAACCAUUGGCCAGCCAGUCUGGGAGAAAAGGAAAGGAAAAUUAUUCUGGCCAAGGUGCAGUUAAGGCUGUAGAUACCUGUCAAUACCCUCAGCGGAACAGUUUCCCUUUAAAACACAUGUGGAAGCCAAAUGAGUCGAAGUGAAGGUUAAACUUAAAAUAAAUAAGCAAACAAAACAUUAGAUGGAAUGUUUCUUUAACAGGAGGAGGGAGCUUUGGAGCCAGGUACAAUACUGAAAAAAUGACUGCAUUCUCAAGGGCAACAUCUGAUCUAGAAGAAUGAACACCCAUGUAGUGCUUGGAGAAUUUAUGUACUGAAGACCAAGUUGCCGUCUUGCAGAUCUCAACUAUGGGGAUGAUUUUGGAGUUGCCAGGCA